UCGGUUGUUGGCGUUUGGUGCUAGAUAAUUAUGAUAUUUAAUCGCUGACAGGAACAGCCACGGACGUCAACAGCCACGGGCAUCAACAGACGACAGCCACGGGCGUCUACAGACGGUGGCCACGCCACGGAUGGGAAUAACUGCCUGGCACAGAUUAUUGUGCCUGAUGGGGAGUGAGGAAAGUCCAAAGAGCUUUGAGUUUCACAUCUGUGCGAAGGACUACUGCUUUGCCAGUGAUGACCAGCACAUUGGUGUGGCUGUGCUUCAGCUUAGAUAUAUUGUUGACCAGGGCUCCUGCGCGACAUGGCUUUCCCUGGAUAAGCGAUGACACAUGGAUGGACAGUGGUGAGAAUUCCGAGUCGACGCACCAACGGCGAGGUAGCAAAGAAAUUUAUCAAGCUCAACCACCCAUGACCCAGUAGACAGAUUGAAGAGGAAGCUUUAUGCUCUAGUGCAAAGUUUGACUCCAUUAUCCAGUGAUGGAUGACAAUAGUCAGGUUGUGUAAGCUAUCAGUAAAAGGGGAGGUAACUCUGGUUGUUCUAGUGAGGGGCUCCCGUUAAAGGACACACGAACACUGGAAUAGCCAUCACAGGAUCAUUGGAGGGCCCUUCGUCCCCAUGUGGCCAAUUGCAGAGGUGACCACUAACGUCCAAGGAGACUCAUUCCGUGUGAAGUUUAAUGUAGGAAUUUAAUCCAACUUUAGACCAAAAGGUGGAUUCAUCGGCGCCUGUCGAUGACGUCAGAACGUCGCCUUGAAAGUAAAAGUUAUCCAAAAGAAAGACACGCAGAAUGACCCCGGUAUGACGCGGCCACGAACGACAACGGGAGGGAAUGUGUGAUACAGUAUUGUGAAUGAUUACCCUGGUCUACAUGUGUGUUCUCAUUUCAGUGGACUACAAGUUCUCUGCUCUUCCAAAACCUUAUUUAAAAGUUUGUAAAACAGUAUUUUGGGUCAUUUAAAGAUGAUGGUGUUCAUUCUGUAUAAUAAACUAUUGGUAAGAUGUACACCAGUUGCAGUAAUAUAUUAUUAAGAAGGAAGUGUCCCAGUAGCUUCGAUUCUCAACAUGGUUUAAUGUCACGUUACUGUCCCAUUUUCUGUGGUGGUGUGAAAGAAAACAACUGAACCGUAAGGGAUAUUUUCCCAUUUUCUGUUAAAUGGUCAUAGGAUAAGUCUAGUGUUUUGUGCUCUUUAAGCGAGAAAGUAAUGGAUAUUUGAAUUAAUCACAUGAUUUAAGUUGUGAGCACUAACUCUUAUUUUUGUAUGUGAUAUUGGCACAUAUUAUCAAAAGGUGCAUAUUCAUAUUUCGCCUUUGACCUCAGAUUCAGAUUGAAUAAGCAAUCCAUUGUACAUAUCAUUUUACCAUUAGGUUAGUCCUCGUCUGUAAUAAUGAAUAAUUGGGUGAUUGUUAUGUUUUUCGUUUUAGUUUAACUGGGUCAGGUCCACUACGCUGGAGAGGGAAUCCUGAGGAUACGGUGCAUUUAUUUGUCUCGAAAUUGGCAAGAGUAAGCCUAAAUUGGUUCGUAAUUAAAGCCCAUUUUCCUACUCUCAGCGAAGAGAAAAUGUCUUUUAGUUGCGGGCUUUCUUAGGCUGUGGCAUUUGUUGCAGGUGUGUGUGUGUGCGUGCGCGCGCAUUUCGUCUGUACUAUCAGUAUGUUUUCUUAACAAACGGGCC
rnacentral:lncRNA from 1 species